GGCGUCUCCCAUUUUUCUGAUACUAACCGGACGGACGCGAAGAAGGUACGAGGUAUAACAGGACUCAAGACUAAGCUGAAUGUGACUGUAUGAACCUGAAACAUCUAAUACUUGGGAGGCUGAGGCAGGUGGGUCACUGGGAGUUUGAGGCCAGCCUGGACUGCAUAGGAACUUUUGACACAGUCUAGGCUUCAGACGGAGAUGCUGCCUCAAAAUGAAAGAUUGAAGGCUUGUC
rnacentral:lncRNA from 1 species